GCCAAGAUGGCACAGUGGUUUGAGUGUUGGACUAUGACUCUGGAGACCAGGGUUCGAUUUGCAGCUCAGCCA
rnacentral:tRNA from 1 species